rnacentral:rRNA from 1 species
GGGCGUAAGGGCUCGCAGGCGGUUUCUUAAGUCUGAUGUGAAAGCCCCCGGCUCAACCGGGGAGGGUCAUUGGAAACUGGGAAACUUGAGUGCAGAAGAGGAGAGUGGAAUUCCACGUGUAGCGGUGAAAUGCGUAGAGAUGUGGAGGAACACCAGUGGCGAAGGCGACUCUCUGGUCUGUAACUGACGCUGAGGAGCGAAAGCGUGGGGAGCGAACAGGAUUAGAUACCCUGGUAGUCCACGCCGUAAACGAUGAGUGCUAAGUGUUAGGGGGUUUCCGCCCCUUAGUGCUGCAGCUAACGCAUUAAGCACUCCGCCUGGGGAGUACGGUCGCAAGACUGAAACUCAAAGGAAUUGACGGGGGCCCGCACAAGCGGUGGAGCAUGUGGUUUAAUUCGAAGCAACGCGAAGAACCUUACCAGGUCUUGACAUCCUCUGACAACCCUAGAGAUAGGGCUUUCCCUUCGGGGACAGAGUGACAGGUGGUGCAUGGUUGUCGUCAGCUCGUGUCGUGAGAUGUUGGGUUAAGUCCCGCAACGAGCGCAACCCUUGAUCUUAGUUGCCAGCAUUCAGUUGGGCACUCUAGGGUGACUGCCGGUGACAAA